rnacentral:rRNA from 1 species
UACGGAGGGGGCUAGCGUUGUUCGGAAUUACUGGGCGUAAAGCGCACGUAGGCGGCGAUUCAAGUCAGAGGUGAAAGCCCGGGGCUCAACCCCGGAACUGCCUUUGAAACUAGAUUGCUAGAAUCUUGGAGAGGCGAGUGGAAUUCCGAGUGUAGAGGUGAAAUUCGUAGAUAUUCGGAAGAACACCAGUGGCGAAGGCGACUCGCUGGACAAGUAUUGACGCUGAGGUGCGAAAGCGUGGGGAGCAAACAGG